GCCAGCAUGGUGUAGUGGUUUGAGCAAUGGACUUGAACUCUAGAGACAGGUUCAAAUCCUGGUUUGGCC